rnacentral:rRNA from 1 species
AUUGAACGCUGGCGGCGUGUUUAAGACAUGCAAGUCGCACGGGAUAAGACAUGUAGUAAUACUUGUUUUAUUUAGUGGCGCACGGGUGAGUAACACGUGAAUUACAUGCCCUAUAGUGGGGAAUAGCCCAGGGAAACUUGGAUUAAUACCCCAUGGUAUCGAAAGAUUAAAGGUGGCCGCAAGGCUGUCGCUAUAGGAUUGGUUCGCGCCCUAUCAGCUUGUUGGUGAGGUAACGGCUCACCAAGGCAAUGACGGGUACCUGGUCUGAGAGGACGAUCAGGCACACUGGAACUGAGACACGGUGCAGACACCUACGGGUGGCAGCAGUCGAGAAUAAUUCACAAUGUGGGCAACCCUGAUGGUGCAACGCCGCGUGGAGGAUGACGGUCUUCGGAUUGUAAACUCCUGUCAUCUGGGAGAAAGACCUGACGGUAAAUAGCCGGCAGGGUUGAUAGUACCAGAAGAGGAAGGGACGGCUAACUUCGUGCCAGCCGCCGCGGUAA